GUGGGGAUUAGUGGCGAACGGGUGAGUAACACGUGGGCAAUCUGCCCUGCACUCUGGGACAAGCCCUGGAAACGGGGUCUAAUACCGGAUACUGACCUGCCAAGGCAUCUUGGCGGGUCGAAAGCUCCGGCGGUGCAGGAUGAGCCCGCGGCCUAUCAGCUUGUUGGUGAGGUAAUGGCUCACCAAGGCGACGACGGGUAGCCGGCCUGAGAGGGCGACCGGCCACACUGGGACUGAGACACGGCCCAGACUCCUACGGGAGGCAGCAGUGGGGAAUAUUGCACAAUGGGCGAAAGCCUGAUGCAGCGACGCCGCGUGAGGGAUGACGGCCUUCGGGUUGUAAACCUCUUUCAGCAGGGAAGAAGCGAAAGUGACGGUACCUGCAGAAGAAGCGCCGGCUAACUACGUGCCAGCAGCCGCGGUAAUACGUAGGGCGCAAGCGUUGUCCGGAAUUAUUGGGCGUAAAGAGCUCGUAGGCGGCUUGUCGCGUCGGUUGUGAAAGCCCGGGGCUUAACCCCGGGUCUGCAGUCGAUACGGGCAGGCUAGAGUUCGGUAGGGGAGAUCGGAAUUCCUGGUGUAGCGGUGAAAUGCGCAGAUAUCAGGAGGAACACCGGUGGCGAAGGCGGAUCUCUGGGCCGAUACUGACGCUGAGGAGCGAAAGCGUGGGGAGCGAACAGGAUUAGAUACCCUGGUAGUCCACGCCGUAAACGGUGGGCACUAGGUGUGGGCAACAUUCCACGUUGUCCGUGCCGCAGCUAACGCAUUAAGUGCCCCGCCUGGGGAGUACGGCCGCAAGGCUAGAACUCAAAGGAAUUGACGGGGGCCCGCACAAGCGGCGGAGCAUGUGGCUUAAUUCGACGCAACGCGAAGAACCUUACCAAGGCUUGACAUACACCGGAAAGCAUCAGAGAUGGUGCCCCCCUUGUGG
rnacentral:rRNA from 1 species